AUUGAACGCUGGCGGCAGGCCUAACACAUGCAAGUCGGACGAGAGGCGGACGGGUGAGUAAUGUAUGGGGAUCUGCCCGAUGGAGGGGGCUAACUACUGGAAACGGUAGCUAAUUACGCCUACCAUCGGAUGAACCCAUAUGGGAUGAGCUUGUAGGUGGGGUACUGGCUCACCUAGGCGAAGAUCCCUAGCUGGUCUGAGAGGAUGAUCAGCAACACGGGGACUGAGAAACGGCCCAUACUCCUCCGGGAGGCAGCAGUGGGGAAUAUUGCACAAUGGGGGCAAGCCGGAUGCAGCCAUGCCGCGUGUAUGAAGAAGGCCUUCGGUUUGUAAAGUACUUUCAGCGGGGAGGCGUUACCGGCAGAAGAAGCACCGGCUAACUCCGUGCCAGCAGCCGCGGUAAUAC
rnacentral:rRNA from 1 species